rnacentral:rRNA from 1 species
CAGUAGCCGCGGGAAUACGUAGGGUGCGAGCGUUAAUCGGAAUUACUGGGCGUAAAGCGUGCGCAGGCGGUUUUGUAAGACAGGCGUGAAAUCCCCGGGCUCAACCUGGGAAUGGCGCUUGUGACUGCAAAGCUAGAGUGCGGCAGAGGGGGAUGGAAUUCCGCGUGUAGCAGUGAAAUGCGUAGAUAUGCGGAGGAACACCGAUGGCGAAGGCGAUCCCCUGGGCCUGCACUGACGCUCAUGCACGAAAGCGUGGGGAGCAAACAGGAUUAGAUACCCCCGUAGUCCCUGUCUCUUAUAC